rnacentral:rRNA from 1 species
CCUACGGGCGGCUGCAGUGGGGAAUAUUGCACAAUGGGCGCAAGCCUGAUGCAGCCAUGCCGCGUGUGUGAAGAAGGCCUUCGGGUUGUAAAGCACUUUCAGCGGGGAGGAAGGCGGUGAGGUUAAUAACCUCAUCGAUUGACGUUACCCGCAGAAGAAGCACCGGCUAACUCCGUGCCAGCAGCCGCGGUAAUACGGAGGGUGCAAGCGUUAAUCGGGAUUACUGGGCGUAAAGCGCACGCAGGCGGUCUGUCAAGUCGGAUGUGAAAUCCCCGGGCUCAACCUGGGAACUGCAUUCGAAACUGGCAGGCUAGAGUCUUGUAGAGGGGGGUAGAAUUCCAGGUGUAGCGGUGAAAUGCGUAGAGACCUGGAGGAAUACCGGUGGCGAAGGCGGCCCCCUGGACAAAGACUGACGCUCAGGUGCGAAAGCGUGGGGAGCAAACAGGAUUAGAUACCCGGGUAGUC